rnacentral:rRNA from 1 species
AGUGAACGCUGGCGGUAGGCCUAACACAUGCAAGUCGAACGGCAGCACAGUAAGAGCUUGCUCUUACGGGUGGCGAGUGGCGGACGGGUGAGGAAUACAUCGGAAUCUACUUUUUCGUGGGGGAUAACGUAGGGAAACUUACGCUAAUACCUCAUACGACCUACGGGUGAAAGCAGUGGAUCUUCGGACCUUGCGUGAUUGAAUGAGCCGAUGUCGGAUUAGCUAGUUGGCGGGGUAAAGGCCCACCAAGGCGACGAUCCGUAGCUGGUCUGAGAGGAUGAUCAGCCACACUGGAACUGAGACACGGUCCAGACUCCUACGGGAGGCAGCAGUGGGGAAUAUUGGACAAUGGGCGCAAGCCUGAUCCAGCCAUACCGCGUGGGUGAAGAAGGCCUUCGGGUUGUAAAGCCCUUUUGUUGGGAAAGAAAAGCAGCAGGUGAAUACCCCGCUGUUCUGACGGUACCCAAAGAAUAAGCACCGGCUAACUUCGUG